AUUCUUCACAGUAGGCUUUGAUGGCAAGACAUACCGAUGAGUUCAUAAUAUAAUCGGAUGGACACACACUGAAUUUGCUCACUACUUCCUCCAAGCAUAGAGAACGUCUAUCUCAGAAAGCUGGCUUUAGCUGUUUCUAUCCAGUUUCACAGCCACUGGGAGGGCCAGGGAGAGGGGGAUGCACAGGGAGCUUGAGCAAGCGAUGAAGGAAGUUGUGGCGGCCAAGACUGGCUUCUGUGGCAUCAGCAGUCACCUGGAAUGUAAACUUGACAACACUCUAGACGUGAACCAAAGAGGGACACGGGCAGACAGAGAAGGACGCAGAAAGGUUACUGCCUGUGCUCCCUUUCUGGAACAAACAAACAACAUUUGAGUUGCUUUGACAUGUUGGAGAAACUCCAGCAAAGCAGAAGAAUUCAAGAGAGAGGAAAACCGAGGGUGUGAGAAGCUGAAACUGACUAAGAACUUCAGGUACAGAAAUUUCGAGUAACAGCUGGGUCACAAGACAACCAACAUUGAAAUCCUCCAAGAGCUGAUUAGAAACUUGAAAAAAAUAAAAAGACGCACUGUUCAAGAAAGCCACUAUCUGAAAUAACACAGGCUGUUAACUCUAAAAUGAACUUGAGACCUGACAAAGCGGAAGGAGCAGCGUUUUUCAUGCGGACAAGGCCAGGCCGCCUUUGGUCAGUCCUGUGUUGGAGCCGAAACCAGAGGAGUCCUACCAGCUGGUCUGAAGGCAAUGACCGUGCGAUGCGGAAAGCAAAGGAUGGAGGCGAGAAGAAAGAAAAAUAUCAAAAAUAUGCUGGCUGGAAAACCACCCUCCUGCUACAAAAAAAAAACAAAAACAUGGGGCGCCUGGGUGGCGCAGUCGGUUGGGCGUCCGACUUCAGCCAGGUCACGAUCUCGCGGUCCGUGAGUUCGAGCCCCGCGUCGGCUCUGGGCUGAUGGCUCAGAGCCUGGAGCCUGUUUCCGAUUCUGUGUCUCCCUCUCUCUCUGCCCCUCUGCCGUUCAUGCUCUGUCUCUCUCUGUCCCAAAAAAUAAAUAAAGGUUGAAAAAAAAAAUAAAAAAAAAA
rnacentral:lncRNA from 1 species